GAUCAUGGCUCAGGACGAACGCUGGCGGCGUGCCCAACACAUGCAAGUCGAACGGAGUUAAGCUCUUCGGAACUUAACUUAGUGGCGAACGGGUGAGUAACGCGUGAGGAACCUGCCUUUCAGUGGGGGACAACAGUUGGAAACGACUGCUAAUACCGCAUGACACUUUUGAGGGACAUCCCUUAAAAGUCAAAGCUUUAUGUGCUGAAAGAUGGCCUCGCGUCUGAUUAGCUAGUUGGUGAGGUAACGG
rnacentral:rRNA from 1 species